UAAUUAUGGGUUGUAGAAAUGAAGAUAUUAUCUAAAAUAAUAAAUUCAUUACGAAACAAAAUAUGUAACAAUGCAUUAUAACUUUUAAAAAAAAAUGAAGAAAUGACAUCUUUGGCAACGCUUUCUUCAUCUGAGAAAAGGUUUCCGAGCGCAACCAGCUUCGGCUAACGAGCUGAAAUUGAGCUCGUUCUCUAUAUCAUAACUCAAAGGACGAGGCAACCAACUUCGGCUUCCACUGGUCCCUCAUCACCCAACAGAAUCCUAAAGAAAGAAUUGCCAAUUUUGUAAAACCCUGAGAAGUCUAGUGGAUAAAUUGACAAUAAUAAAAGAAGAGGGACCAAAGUGAAAUUAAGUGAAUGUUGGGACGUCUUCGUCCUCCGUCAGCUGUGCUCUCGUCUCGCCCUCCAACGCCAUCUCCGGCGGUGAUGAUUUCCUUCAUGUUAGACGCUUAGAGGCUUCCCUUGGCUGAGCCCCAGCUCCAAUUCAACGGAACCCAAUAUCUCUCCCCUCCCAACUCCGCCAUUGCUGCCUUCAGUUCCUCUCAGAUUCUUGUCGGUCCACCCAAGUGAAGACUGUCCCACUGUCUCGCUCAUCGUCGAAUGUCUCGGGUUCUCGCUGGCUAUCAGUUCAAGGUGGGAAGGUAAGGUUUCUUCAGCUAAUGGAGGGUCCUCUAAGGGUCCGACAGGUGUUUAAAAAAAAAAAAAAGAUUGCUUGGAACUCCACGGAUAAUAGAGGUGGAUUGAACUGACGUAAGGUUUUUCCAAAAGUGAAUCAAGAGCUUCAGUUCUUUGAGCCUUCGGUAGAUAGAAGAAGUCGGUCGAAAUCAGUGGGAGAAUUGCUUAGUUGGGCGAUUUCACUGGGGAAAAUUUCGGAACAUUUGCUUUGCUUCGGUUGAUGCCGAGGCUUGCCUCUUCUGAUCAAUAAAAUACUAGGACGAUGCAUUGGAACAAUUCAAGGUAUCUGACAGUGGACCCAAGGCCCUGGAACUCAGUCUAAGGCCCUUAGAGAACAGCCAAGAGAUCAACAUGCUGUGGUGUUGCGGGAAGAAAAGGAUUUGGAAGAGUGGGACGUCAAGUCAUGUGAAAGCAAGCCGAUCUUCUUGCCUUAUCCUGAUAUUCGGGAGCUGCCAUGGACAUGGGAGUGCCCAGAAUGGGAGAUACUUGUCCUCUUUGCACAGGACGACUGUCUCCUGAAGGUCCCAUAUUUACUCUUCACGUUAAUGCCAAAACUCAAGGGAGCUUAAGAACCUACUCGUGCUAAGCUUUAUGGGGCCGGACAUCACUCGACUGCCAAAAGAAGUCAGGGAAUCGACAGGUUUGAGAUCAUUAGACUUGAGCUAUUGGUUGAGACUGGAAGUGAUUAAACCGGGGUCAUUGGAGGGGUUGGUUCAACUGGAAGAGCUAUAUCUGAAAGAUUCCUUUACUCAGCGGCAACUAGAGGGAAAUGAAGAGCAAACUAAUUCCAGUCUUGCUGAGUUGGACAAUAUGUAUCGUCUAAGCAAACCUAGACAUUCUCGUUCCUGAUGUCAACGUGGUCCGUGAAGACCUGGCAUUCUUGGGGACGUUAACCAAGUAGAGUGUUCCUUGGCAAUAAGUGGGACUGGUCUGUAAUAUAGAAAGAGCAACGCCUGCUCAAGUUUGAGUUGGAAGGCAAUGGUAUCCUCUCUGAAGAUUGGCUCCAACUUACUUUGCAGAGGACUGAUGAUCUUCAUAUGCAUGGUUCAGAUGGAGCAAAGAGAACCAUCCAUGUGCUGCGUAGAGAAGGCUUCAAGGAAUUGAAGCAUCUCCUUUUAGAACACAGUCCCUCCACUAAUUACCUUGUCCACUCAACCAAAUGCACCGGGGAGGGAGCAUUUUCCGUUUUGAGAGAGCAAAAGGUUGACCUUUGCUUUCUCAUUGAAACAACAGCAAAAGAGGCUCAAGCUACUAAUGUUUUGAGUAAAUGGCCUGGAUGGAGUUACUGGAAUAAUUAUGAUUUUGCUAAGAAUGGAAGAAUAUGGGUGCUGGUUAAUAGCAGGAUCUCCCUAACUGUUGUUCAAAAAUCAAGCCAGUUUAUUCAUUGUCUGGUAGACUUACCUGAAGGGAGAGGGAACAUUCAUGUGACAUUUGUUUAUGGAUCUAACUGCGCACAAGAGAGGAAGGAGUUAUGGGAUGAUUUGAAGCGGUUGUUUCACAUGGUUUCUGGUCCUUGGUCCUUACUUGGGACUCUAAUGCAGUGAAAGACCCGUAUGAGGUGAAGGCUCGAGGCAAGAUAAUUCAGAAUCUGGGUUCUUCUCUAUUGCUAGUGCUUGGGAGAUAUUGAGGCCUCAAGGUACAAAAGUAAAUUGAAGGGGCAUGGUCUGGUUAUAUGGUUGCGUCCCUCGUGUUCCUUUUAUAUAUAAGAUUGCACAGGUGGAAUCUAGUUCAGGAUGUUGAAUGUGAAUAUUGUAGAGCUUCCAUAGAAACAAGGGACCAUUUAUUUUUCUCUUGUACAGUUACUAAAAGUAUUUGGCCGGGUAUAAUGAGCAGGAUUGGAAUAUGUUGGUCUCGGGAUGAUUGGAAAAGUGAAACAGACUGGAUUCUUGCGCAAAAAGGGGGGAAGCUAGACACGAUCAUACUGAAGCUCAUUUGGUCAAAUUAUGUAUAGUGCAUCUGGCUUGAAAGGAAUAUGAGGGUUUUCAUUUUA